UGCUUGGGAUUCUCUCUCACUCUCUAUCAGAAUAAAUAAAUAAACUUGAAAUAAAUCAUGGUCUGAGUGAGUGAAGAUCGCGGCGCAGACGUUGAUUUGCUCAGCGACACAUGGUAAGCUGACAUCAGAACCGUGGUUACUAUGUUUAGUCCUGCAGACUAUAGUUCAUGCCCUGUGGCCAAGCCAUGCUUAAAAUCACAAUUGUCAGGGUAGACACAAGAGCCGUUUGCUGCGGAGUGAAGUUCGGGAGAGUAGCUUCUUGUAGCUUGGAAUUUGGAUGUUUGCUUCUACCAAUUUAUAUCUCUUUGCCUUUAUGAAGUCAUACGAGGCCCUAAGCCAAGUGAGAAGGUAGGAAUAUGCUCAGCACACUUCCUGGUAUUGUAGGCAGAAUGCAAUCAUUAUCUGAAAUUUUGCUAGGUGGGAGCCUGCCUGAGAGUAGCAGGGCAGGGUUUAUUGUUUGCAGAGCAGGGUUGAUUGUUAAGUAGUUAACGUUGGUUAGCUCUGAACCCAUCCUCAAAGGUCCAGACUAGUCUCCAGUAUAUUUCCAGUGUCAAAGCUCUCAUGGCUGGAAAUGGCCAGGUCUUGCAAAAAUUGUCGAGGAAAAUAAUUUGAAUUCCCUGGGCGUGUCUGGGUGAUGGGACUUCUGUUCUCGGUUCCUGCGCUUUGGGGUAACACUGACUCACUGGCUGAGAUCCGUCUGGGAUUUUAAGAGGUAUAAAUAAAUAACAAAUUCACACAUAACUGACUAACAUGGAUGUUUUGAGUCAGGCCAACUGGGAUUUGAAUCCCUACCCACUGUGACUAACUUACUGCUCUGAGGAAGUACACAUUCUCAGAGUACCUGCUGUGUACCAGUGGUUUAUGGAGUGUUUGUGAGGAUUAUAGAAGAUAAGGAACGUAUGGGAAAUACAUAGGAAGAGUAGGGAGGGCUUCAGAAAGGCCUCUUUCCUUCCCUUUGGCUUGAUCGAAUGUCACAAAAUACAUUAUCUCCAGGCUCAUCUCAUCAUGGAGUCAGAGACAUUUGUGACCAGUAGCCCUUGGCCAGCCAUUUCAGGUCCUAUCACACAGACCAUCCCAGAAUCUGGAGAUAGGAAUCCAUUGAGUACAGACUCCUGAACGAUUGGCUUGCGGGCCUGUAAGCCUUUCUUAAAGAAGACCGAUGCCCACCCGAGUCAAAUUAUUGGCCGCAUAUAGAAUACUGUGGAACGUUGUGGAAGAGCUGGCGCCCAGCUCACCUUUGGCAGUGUCAGGAUUCCAACUCCGGCUCUUUGUCAAAUGGCUCGACAGCUUCAGGGAGGUCUUUUUGUAAGCUCACGGAUUCAGAAAUGGUUUGACUCUGUAGAAGAAUUCUCUUCAUGUUUGAGCUCUGAUCUAAGCCAACAGCUUUGGAAAUUUUGAAUCUGCCUCUUAUAUAUAUAUUUUUUCCUGUAUUAGAUAUGAGCCUGCCUGCUCAGUUCAGAUUCGACAGCAGAACUUUUUGCAGACGCGAAUGGCUCACUCUGUGAAGCAAACCAUAAUCCCAUCAACUUUGCUUUGGUGGCAUUUUUGAUUCUGAUUUAAUGCAGUGACCUUAGGGCAGAUUUUGGACCGGGGAAAACAACCCCUUAUUUGUCGCCCAAAGGACUCCGUUUUUAAGGACCCGAUCGGGGGUGUUGGGGUGGACACAUGGACGUGUGGAGUUUUGCUUUCAUUUGUUUUGUUUUUCCCCUUCUUUACUUUUUGGUUUGAUCCCUUUUAGAUUCCAGGGGGGCUGAAUUUCAUGCUGAGGAGGCUUUAGCUAAUGGUUAUAAAACCUUAGGGAAAGUACAGCCCUUCUGUGGUCCUAUCUUCCUAAAACUGCUCCUAUCAAGAAAUGACAGAUGAAGGAAACAUAAGUGAUAUCUACAAUGAAACAUGUGUUCCCCGUAAUACGUCUUUAUCUUCUUGCAUUUAUCAGUAGCCCUGGGUAACAGGGUUUUAUACUUUAGGAAGAUUAGAGGCUUGUUUUCUUGCUGAAACAGUCCCUCCACCAUGUUCUUUUGUCUGCCUUAGUGCUUAGGUUUUGUUUUGUUUUUUAACUAGUUUUUAACACCGUGCGUUUGGAAUAAGCUUCGGGAAUCAUCUGUCUCAUAAAGGUCACUUGUUUCUUAUAUUCGGGGCACUUACGGUUUGGAGGGGGUGAUGGGUGGAAUGAAACCCACAGAGAAGUAUUGACACCAGGAUUAGGAAGCCAGGCUUGUAUUUCAAUCUCUGUUACAGACACAAUCAAGUGGCUUGGCUCUUUCACUCCGUUUUCCAUCUGUAAAUUAGAGAUAAUAUUUUCUACCUUCCAGAUUCUCAGAGUGUGAAGAAUUUUCAAUUUUUGAAAAUUUCUGCAAAUUAAUUGAGCAAUGCCGGUAAGUCCGCAUACAUUGAUGAAGAAUUUCAAGAUCUAAAGUUGAUAUGCCUUUGAACUUUCUGCCUGAAGCCUUUCUCAGGAGGUAUUGCCUAGGAAAAGCUUUGGGGCAAAGAAGCCCAUUUCUUCCGACUCUUUUCUUCACAUGCCAGUUGUAAUCCUUUUAACUACUUGGUGGCUUUUAUAUACUCUUCAGGCUGGUUAAGUGCUUCAUAACACGAAGAACUAAUUUUCUCUUGACAGUGACCUUGUGAUCUUGUUCAUCUGGUUCCUAGUUCUGAGGUUUUCCCCUAACACUCCGAGUCAUCUUCGUCAAAGUCUUAAAGGGAGAUAGGUUUUAAUAAGGAGUUGAUCGAGUUUAAUGGGUGGUUUGAAGUUAUGUAUGACUCUGCUGUUGCAAAAGGUCAGAGUUUACACUCUAGGUUUUAUAUCCUUGACUUUUCCCUUCCUUUACAGGCCUUUGGAUCUAGUGAAAGUGAUUCACACACACACAGACCAGAUAUGUGGCUUUAGAUGCCUUCUAACCCUGAAUCCUAUUCUGUUGCCAAGGCUCAUCUCUGUCGAGGAACUCAUGAGUUAGCAGGUCUGGAACGGUAGGAGCCUGAAGGCAAAGGAGAGACGUGUUAUUGGCCAGCUUGUGGAAAUAAUUGUUCUGCAUUCAUUCACCAUAUACUUCCAGGUACCUAACUUGAGGAGCGUAUAUUCAGCACUUGGAAGGAUCCAGAGGAGAAAUUGACAUAGAUCUUGUUCAUGGGAAGUUUGUAAUGGAUUAGAGGACCCUAAGUUAUGGCGCCCGGAAUAACUGAAGUGGAAGGCUCAACAUAAAAAGGGGGCGCAGAGAUGUCUCCUUUGGGUCCCAGGAGUUUAGAGAAGCAGAGGUUAUUUUAAAGGAGGGAAUUAGGUAGUCUUCGGGGAAGAAGUGCCCUUUAUGGAGAUGGGCAUUGAGGUUUGGGAAGGCGGGGGAUUUGGCUCAGCAUAAGCCCUGGCUGAAGCACAGGUACUUAGGGCAAGUGAAGAAGGAGGAAGCUGUCCAUCCUGGCUGCAGCAAAGGCUGGAUGAAGGCAAGAGAGAAACGACCUAGAUUAUCAGAUGUCAGAUUGUCGGGGAGCCCUGUUUACCCUGAUUUUUUUUUUCCUCCUUCUUUGACCAUUCACGCUACAGUGCUGUGCUGGCAAACUAGUGUGCCACAAAAAAAAAAAAA